rnacentral:rRNA from 1 species
GAUGAACGCUGGCGGCGUGCCUAAUACAUGCAAGUCGAGCGAACAGACGAGGAGCUUGCUCCUUCGACGUUAGCGGCGGACGGGUGAGUAACACGUAGGUAACCUACCUAUAAGACUGGGAUAAAUUCGGGAAACCGGAGCUAAUACCGGAUAAUCUUUCGAACCGCAUGGUUGGAUAGUGAAAGAUGGCUUUGCUAUCACUUAUAGAUGGACCUGCGCUGUAUUAGCUAGUUGGUAAGGUAACGGCUUACCAAGGCAACGAUACGUAGCCGACCUGAGAGGGUGAUCGGCCACACUGGAACUGAGACACGGUCCAGACUCCUACGGGAGGCAGCAGUAGGGAAUCUUCCGCAAUGGGCGAAAGCCUGACGGAGCAACGCCGCGUGAGUGAUGAAGGUCUUCGGAUCGUAAAACUCUGUUAUUAGGGAAGAACAAACGUGUAAGUAACUGUGCACGUCUUGACGGUACCUAAUCAGAAAGCCACGGCUAACUACGUG